rnacentral:rRNA from 1 species
UCCGGAGGGUGCAAUCGUUGUUCGGAAUUACUGGGCGUAAAGCGCGUGUAGGUGGUUCGGUAAGUCGAAUGUGAAAGCCCCGGGCUCAACCCGGGAAGUGCAUCCGAAACUGCCGAACUAGAGUCCCGGAGAGGAAGGCAGAAUUCCCAAUGUAGGGGUGAAAUCCGUAGAUAUUGGGAGGAAUACCGGUGGCGAAGGCGGCCUUCUGGACGGUGACUGACACUCAGACGCGAAAGCGUGGGGAGAAAACAGG